AGCUACAGUCAAACAUUAGACAGUAUUUGCUUGUGUACUUUCAGAUCAAGAUUUAUCUAUUAUCUAUUAUUUAUUAUUUUUCAGUGCAGAGGAUCAAACCCAGGGCUUUGUGCAUCCUGGGUGCCAGACAAGUUCUCUACCACAGAAUUUAUCGUCAGAUCCUUUGCUUGUAAUGUCAGAUCCAGUGCAAUAGGGAUAUCCCGCUAUCUUUGACUCUCUCACCUUCAAAUUCUUGGAAGCUUGCUAUUGUGAUUCUUGUGUUCCCACACAACAAGGACUUUUAUUUUUUCACUGUAGACUUUGUUCUGCUCCAUCUGGUGAGGGAGAGUUUCUUUAGUGUUUUGGCUUUCACUGUUGCUCAUUAUCUGAUUUCUGUGGGAUAGGCAGAAAACUUAGGAUAAUCUAGAGUAGCACAAAUUUUUGAAUGUCUAUUGUUUCCCAAGUAACUCCCAGGAGAUAGCAUGGUUUAUAUUAGCUGUGAAUGUGUUCUCUGUAGAAAUGAAUCAUAUGCGGAUCUGACCAGUAUAUAUUGAUUGCCUUCAACAAAGAGUUGAUGUUGUUGAUGAGUUUGUGCCAGUUUUAUGAUAGAGGACAUCAGAAGAGAUACAAGCAAGUCUCUGAGCUUUGGAAAGCUUGGCUCCAAGCAUGACUCCACAACUCAUGAGGGUGUUGUACUCAUAUUACAACGAAGCACCUGGGAUCCAUUUGCCAGUAUGCUUGAACAUUCUCAACACAGGGUGCUUCACUGCAGAAUGAUUCUCUAGUAAUUAAUUCCCUUUGUAAACAAGGAAAUGAGAAACAAGAAAAUAAAUCUAAAAAAAAAAAA